AUGAUCAAGCCUAAAAGAGCAGGAGGAAUUGGCUUCAAAGACCUGCACCUUUUUAACCAAGCACUACUAGCUAAACAAGGGUGGAGAUUAAUCCAAAACCCAGAUAGCUUGUGUGCAAGGGUACUUAAGUCCAAAUACUACCAUAAUGGUAAACUCCUAGAGUGUUUGCGGCCGAUGCGUCUCCCGUAUGGAUAG
rnacentral:rRNA from 1 species